rnacentral:misc_RNA from 1 species
GAGUUAGCUUCUCAGUUUCUUCAUCAAGCUUCCUUGUGUUUAAAGAAGUGCUGCUGGAGGCUGCUUUGUUUGAACCAGCAUUUGCUGCAGAAGAAAUUGAGAGAGGCUUUUAUAUUCACAUAAAUAGGUAUCAAUCAAUUAAAUGAAAAUGCUACACCAUAGUCUAAGCAAGCAAAUGUUAAAGAAGGAUCCACCAUUAAGAAGUAGUUUAGUAACAGUCAUUCCUACAUGAGUGCCAUUCAUUCUAAAAUCUAAAACUAGCUUCCUCAGAGGCCAAAAACACACGUAUUGGUUGGAAUAGAGACACAACAGCAAUUCAUUCAAACAAGUUAAUGUGCUCAAUAUCCAUUCAACCGUAAACAUGAUUAUUUGCCUAUGAAAACCAAAUGGUAUAAAUUGUGAGCCACAUGGCAGUUUCUCCGUCCCAAGUACAUACUUCAGCUACCCACACUGCUUAAAAUUCAAUAAAAAAGCAACCAUAGAAAAGAAUUCAUUCUAUAGUACAUGAAUAACUAUUCAUUAUAGUUUCUCUAAACACAGGAUAACAACCAAAAAGAAAAAGCAUGGUAUUUUUCGUACAAAUAAAGCAUCAGGGAUUCUGAGUACUGAAUGCUUGGCCUAAGUUGCAUACAUGCUAGAUAUGGCUGAUUAGUUAUAAUUACAAAAGAGUAACAAUCUCAUUGCAAUUUUUUUUUUAAAAAUCAAGUAAUAAACCCUAAUUCCUCUUUGGCCGCAAGGAAAAUCAAAACCACAGGAAGGGGGGAAAAAUCCAUUGCUGCCUAUUGUUACAAUAUCAUUCCAAAAAUUAAAUAUUAACAGUUCCAAAAUCGUUAUUCCCUUUCCUUCGCUUCAAGAAACAAACAAGAGCACAAUACAAUCAUCAACAACAACAACACUAAUCGAACCCAAAACACUUCAUCGAUUCGAUUGAUCAAUCACAGUAAACUAAAUUAAGCAAUCUAUUUAAAAG